AUUGAACGCUGGCGGCAUGCUUUACACAUGCAAGUCGAACGGUAACAGGGAGCUUGCUCCGCUGACGAGUGGCGAACGGGUGAGUAAUGCAUCGGAACAUGCCCAGUCAUGGGGGAUAACUACGCGAAAGCGUAGCUAAUACCGCAUACGCCCUGAGGGGGAAAGUGGGGGAUCUUAGGACCUCACGUGAUUGGAGUAGCCGAUGUCAGAUUAGCUAGUUGGUGAGGUAAAGGCUCACCAAGGCGACGAUCUGUAGCGGGUCUGAGAGGAUGAUCCGCCACACUGGGACUGAGACACGGCCCAGACUCCUACGGGAGGCAGCAGUGGGGAAUUUUGGACAAUGGGCGCAAGCCUGAUCCAGCCAUGCCGCGUGAGUGAAGAAGGCCUCGGUGUAAG
rnacentral:rRNA from 1 species